CAAGGGCAAGCCACUGUGUCUGAUGUCUCUUCCCUCAGAACAAACGGCACUGGGUACAUUACUGCCUUCCUGUGGUGCUUUCCCCAGGGAGCAGGUCUUGGCUGACCGAGCCUUCUUUCUUUCCCAUCCAGUACAUUCACAGCUGUUGUGUUGUCAACACUGUCUAGGUAGCUUUGAGCCUGGGCUCUGUAGGAGCACAGUGCCUCAUGGUGUAGUGGCCUUUCCAAGAUUCCGAGACCUAUUUGUUCAUGGCCAUUUGUACGCCACUUAUGAAACGGUUUAGCGCUGAUACCUGACCCAUGGAGAGGUUAGUCCCCUCAUCUGGACAACUUGAGACAGCUUAAUCAGGAUGACUCUGGAGCCUGUGUCUGGACCAUAUCAAUUAGGGUUAGCCCCUCCCACUUUCCUUCUGGCAGAGAGCAGAGUGGAGAGCAGGGUGGCAAACUGAUAUGGGCCAGCUAGACCCGGCUCAGAUCAAGGCACUUCCACUUGCUGAAGAAGCGAGAGGCUGAAAAAGAGAGGUGGUAUUCAGCUGAUAGAGUCCCUGUGUGUGAAAGGACAUGCAGAGGAGAGACAAGCUACAUCCAUCCCACUCCAGUGAAAACGUGUGGUUUUAGGCACAUCCAUCCCACUCACAGUGAAACGUGUAAGUGAUGAGCUGUGGCCUUGCCCGUUGUCCUCAGGGGCCCCUGAGCCAUGGCAGCAACUUGGUAGAAGAAAUUUUCCACAAUGAAGUAAUAGGCAAAUCAGCAGAAAGUGAAACAGAAAGCUGCUGAGGCUUCUAAGAGCCCUAAAGAAUUUCUUAAGUGCUUUUUGCCUGUUAUAAAUUUAAAAAAGGAACCAAUUGUGAUGUCACGUGCCUGUAAUCCUAGCCCAGGCAAGCAGAGCCAGAAUUGUAAAUGCAAGGCUAGUCUGAGCUGUAUAAUAAAUUCCUUCCUCAAAACAAUAGAAAAAAGUUUAAAAAGGACCACGGGGAGAGAAGAGAGGAGAAAGGGGAAAGAGAAAGGAGUGAGCUUCUGAAUCAAGUGUGGCAUAGAGAGGGGAUGAAGAAAAGGAGUCAUAGAGACAAACAGGUAUUGGAUUCUGCUUCCUGCCUGCUGGUCAUGCCGUCAUGGGCAAGACAUUAAUCCAUCCUUUGACCUGGAAGCACUCAAGCCAGCAUCCUAAAUAGGCAGUUCCUUUACUACUGUGAGGGCCAGUCCCCUCGGCCACCAUCCUGGGGUGACUGGGGCGAAUCUCAUGCGGGGGACCCAUGUUGUAUGUUUUUCCUCAACCCAGGUUGGAGCAUAGCGAGUGGGAGUCAGCCCGGACCCCAAUCAUUGGCGCCUGUGGCUCUCAGGAGCAGGUGCUGUUGAUGGAUCUCCCAGGCAGUAGCUGUCGGAGGACCCGGAGCAGUGCUGGAUGGAAGCGGGUUCUGCGUUCUCUCUGCCGUUCCCGGACCCGCGUGCCACUGCUCGCAGCCAUCUACUUCCUAAUGAUUCAUGUUUUACUGGUUCUGUGUUUCACGGGUCACCUAUAAACUUGUUACUUGAC
rnacentral:lncRNA from 1 species